GACGAACGCUGGCGGCGUGCUUAACACAUGCAAGUCGAACGGAAAGGCCAUGCUUUUGUGGGGUGCUCGAGUGGCGAACGGGUGAGUAACACGUGAGUAACCUGCCCUUGACUUUGGGAUAACUUCAGGAAACUGGGGCUAAUACCGGAUAGGAGCUCCUGCUGCAUGGUGGGGGUUGGAACGUUUCGGCGGUUGGGGAUGGACUCGCGGCUUAUCAGCUUGUUGGUGGGGUAGUGGCUUACCAAGGCUUUGACGGGUAGCCGGCCUGAGAGGGUGACCGGCCACAUUGGGACUGAGAUACGGCCCAGACUCCUACGGGAGGCAGCAGUGGGGAAUAUUGCACAAUGGGCGGAAGCCUGAUGCAGCAACGCCGCGUGCGGGAUGACGGCCUUCGGGUUGUAAACCGCUUUCGCCUGUGACGAAGCGUGAGUGACGGUAAUGGGUAAAGAAGCACCGGCUAACUACGUG
rnacentral:rRNA from 1 species